rnacentral:lncRNA from 1 species
AAAAUAUUACUUAGAUGGUUUUUGCACAAAACUCUUUAUAUAAAGACUCAAAAUCGACAAGAUAUAAGAAUUAUAGAAAAGAAGAAAAAAAACUCCCUAAUCACAUUGUAUCUCUUCUAACUACGUUUAAAAGUUUGCCAGUUUAUCAAAAUUCUUAUCAUUUAUAGCCUUUCAAAUAAAAUAAAUAAUCCAUGAGAGCAUUGAAGUAUUAGUCCCUCUUAGGUUCACUCUCAUAUUGACAAAAAAAAAUCCGAUGAUAACAUCCCUGGUCCCGAAGGAACUUGUGAUAAUGCCCAAUUUGAUAAAGCUGCU